AUGCCUGAGUUUCUACAGGCUUAAACAGAACGCCUUGUCUCCCCAACACCUUCUCUCUCCCGCCCUCAUGCACCAGGACUGGGCACUGUUCUAGGAGUACGGGUCCCAUACCUUGGAGGCACAACCGGACCCUUUGUCUUUCUACUUCUACAUUCUGGUUCUGAGUUGAUUUUGGACUCAGAAAUCCCACCAAGAUUCUAUGACACUCAUCUUGAAAUGCACACAGAUUGGAAAUUGAGGCUCACAGACGUUGUGCCCUGUUCAAGGAAGCGCACGUGCUGGGUGGAAACCCCACGCUGACAUGCAGGUGUAUCCAGACUAUCGGUAACAAGGGAGUAAAUACACAGAAGAGUCUGGAAUGCAGAAAACUGAGCAUCUUGUGCCAAAAAGAUGACAAAAGUCCAUUUGACUUCACCAUGGCAGAACUACCAGAGGUUCUGAACCGAGAUUACAUCGUUCAUGGUAAUCGGACAGCGGGAGAGUAGCCGAGCAGCAGCUCUGACUUCCAGCGUCUUGCCAGCGUUCCAGUCUAGCGGAGAGGGCUUUUCGAUGUGUCAAAGGGGAUGGGAUCACAGCUUGAAACUUCAGCCAAGAAUUGAAGAAAGAAUUUGAAAGAGGAAGACAUUCAUUCCUAAAGACGCUGAGGGAAAGAGCCACGUCUGUCUGUCCGUGUCCACCCCGUCUCCAGUCUCUUCCACCCCGGAGGGUGUUUGACUGAGCAUCUCCUUGUGUGUUCAUGAACAUAGUCUGCGUUCAGGAGGGGGAGCCCCCUUCUCCUGUUAGAGUCGGGACCUUUGUAGGCACCAUCCUGACAAUGUGUCCCAGAGCUCCACAGUGAGCUGUUGAUGUCCAUGGGCAGAGGAGAAAGCCCAGGAGCUGGAAGGUCCACUGGCUUCUGCUAUGUCACUUAGCCAGAACUCAGAAGAG
rnacentral:lncRNA from 1 species